rnacentral:rRNA from 1 species
AGGACGAACGCUGGCGGCGUGCUUAACACAUGCAAGUCGAGCGGUAGGGCCUUUCGGGAUACACGAGCGGCGAACGGGUGAGUAACACGUGGGUGAUCUGCCCUGCACUUCGGGAUAAGCCUGGGAAACUGGGUCUAAUACCGGAUAUGACCUCCUAUCGCAUGGUGGGUGGUGGAAAGAUUUAUCGGUGCAGGAUGGGCCCGCGGCCUAUCAGUCUUGUUGGGUGGGUAAUGGCCUACCGAAGCGACGACGGGUAGCCGACCUGAGAGGGUCGACCGGCACGACUGGGACUGAGACGACCGGACCACGACUCCGUACGGGACGGCAGGCAGGUUGGGGAAUAUUGG